rnacentral:rRNA from 1 species
CCCGCUGAACUUAAGCAUAUCAAUAAGCGGAGGAAAAGAAACUAACAAGGAUUCCCCUAGUAACUGCGAGUGAAGCGGGAAAAGCUCAAAUUUAAAAUCUGAGGGUCUUUGCGGCCUUCCGAGUUGUAAUCUAGAGAAGUGCUAUCCGCGCUGGACCGUGUACAAGUCUCCUGGAACGGAGCGUCAUAGAGGGUGAGAAUCCCGUCUUUGACACGGACUACCAGGGCUUAUGUGAUGCGCUCUCAAAGAGUCGAGUUGUUUGGGAAUACAGCUCUAAAUGGGUGGUAAAUUCCAUCUAAAGCUAAAUAUUGGCGAGAGACCGAUAGCGAACAAGUACCGUGAGGGAAAGAUGAAAAGAACUUUGGAAAGAGAGUUAAACAGUACGUGAAAUUGUUGAAAGGGAAACGUUUGGAAUCAGUCUUGUCUGCGGGAAAUCAUCCAAUGGAACCAUUGGUGUAGUUUGUCGUAAACAGGUCAGCGUCGGUUUUGGUUGUCAGAAAAUGGUCUUGGGAAAGUGGCUCCUCGGAGUGUUAUAGCCCGGAUCGAUAUGGUGACUGGGACCGAGGCAUGCAGCCAGCCGGUUCGUCCGGCAGGGGACGCGGAUGCUGGUCAUUACCUUAUCGCGGAAAGCUUGCUGAUCGCGAUGGGUUGUGUGGUCACCCGUUUGCAAUCUCUCUUCCUGGCUUAGGUCGCUGACUUAAUGAUUCCAAAUGACCCGUCUUGAAACACGG